AGACCCGAAACCCGGUGAUCUAGCCAUGGGCAGGUUGAAGGUUGGGUAACACUAACUGGAGGACCGAACCGACUAAUGUUGAAAAAUUAGCGGAUGACUUGUGGCUGGGGGUGAAAGGCCAAUCAAACCGGGAGAUAGCUGGUUCUCCCCGAAAGCUAUUUAGGUAGCGCCUCGUGAAUUCAUCUCCGGGGGUAGAGCACUGUUUCGGCAAGGGGGUCAUCCCGACUUACCAACCCGAUGCAAACUGCGAAUACCGGAGAAUGUUAUCACGGGAGACACACGGCGGGUGCUAACGUCCGUCGUGAAGAGGGAAACAACCCAGACCGCCAGCUAAGGUCCCAAAGUCAUGGUUAAGUGGGAAACGAUGUGGGAAGGCCCAGACAGCCAGGAUGUUGGCUUAGAAGCAGCCAUCAUUUAAAGAAAGCGUAAUAGCUCACUGGUCGAGUCGGCCUGCGCGGAAGAUGUAACGGGGCUAAACCAUGCACCGAAGCUGCGGCAGCGACACUGUGUGUUGUUGGGUAG
rnacentral:rRNA from 1 species